CCUUUCCACUCGCUCCGCUCUCUUCAACGGAGACGGAGGGGACCUCCCCCAGCCCCUCUCUCCACCCCCGGGGCUCCGAGGAAGAAGAAGCGGGGAUGUGCCGGCCUCCCGCCCCGCCCCGGGCGGCACCAGUUCUAAGGAACGAGAAAUCGACUUUGUGUAUGACUGUGCUUCCACAAGGGUGAGAGAAGAAGCUCAUUGAGCAUUUCUUGGUGUCCCUUCUUCCAGACAGCUUAGAGGAGGAAUAUCUGGU